rnacentral:rRNA from 1 species
AGUCCACUGGAAAGUGGCGCCACAGAGGGUGACAGCCCCGUGAACCCCUUCAACGCCCUCAUCCCAGAUCUCCAAGAGUCGAGUUGUUUGGGAAUGCAGCUCUAAGUGGGUGGUAAAUUCCAUCUAAAGCUAAAUACCGGCGAGAGACCGAUAGCGAACAAGUACAGUGAUGGAAAGAUGAAAAGCACUUUGAAAAGAGAGUGAAAAAGUACGUGAAAUUGUUGAAAGGGAAGGGCUUGCAAGCAGACACUUAACUGGGCCAGCAUCGGGGCGGCGGGGAGCAAAACCACCGGGGAAUGUACCUUUCGAGGAUUAUAACCCCGGCCCUUACUCCCACACCACCCCGAGGCCUGCAAUCUAAGGAUGCUGGCGUAAUGGUUGCAAGUC